UACAGAGGUCCCAAGCGUUGUUCGGAUUCACUGGGCGUAAAGGGUGCGUAGGCGGUCGCGCAAGUCGGAUGUGAAAUCUCGGGGCUCAACCCCGAAACUGCAUUCGAUACUGCGUGGCUAGAGUGCUGGAGGGGAGACUGGAAUUUACGGUGUAGCAGUGAAAUGCGUAGAUAUCGUAAGGAAGACCAGUGGCGAAGGCGAGUCUCUGGACAGCAACUGACGCUGAGGCACGAAGGCCAGGGGAGCAAACGGG
rnacentral:rRNA from 1 species